UUGGUAGAGAAUACCAAGGCGCUUGAGAGAACUCAGGAGAAGGAACUCGGCAAAUUGAUACCGUAACUUCGGGAGAAGGUAUGCCCCUGGUACGUGAAGGCCCUCGCGGCCGGAGCGGAACGGGGUCGCAGAGAAUCGGUGGCUGCGACUGUUUAUUAAAAACACAGCACUCUGCAAACACGAAAGUGGACGUAUAGGGUGUGACGCCUGCCCGGUGCCGGAAGGUUAAGUGAUGGGGUGCAAGCUCUUGAUCGAAGCCCCGGUAAACGGCGGCCGUAACAAUAACGGUCCUAAGGUAGCGAAAUUCCUUGUCGGGUAAGUUCCGACCUGCACGAAUGGCGUAACGAUGGCCACACUGUCUCCUCCUGAGACUCAGCGAAGUUGAAAUGUUUGUGAAGAUGCAAUCUCCCCGCGGCUAGACGGAAAGACCCCAUGAACCUUUACUGUAGCUUUGCAUUGGACUUUGACGGGACUUGUGUAGGAUAGGUGGGAGGCUAUGAAACCGGGACGCCAGUUCCGGCGGAGCCACCCUUGAAAUACCACCCUGGUGUCGUCGAGGUUCUAACCCAGGCCUGUGAAUCCAGGUCGGGGACCGUGCAUGGUGGGCAGUUUGACUGGGGCGGUCUCCUCCCAAAAGGUAACGGAGGAGUACGAAGGUCACCUAGGUACGGUCGGACAUCGUACUGAUAGUGCAAUGGCAAAAGGUGGCUUGACUGCGAGACCCACAAGUCGAGCAGGUGCGAAAGCAGGUCAUAGUGAUCCGGUGGUUCUGUAUGGAAGGGCCAUCGCUCAACGGAUAAAAGGUACUCUGGGGAUAACAGGCUGAUUCCGCCCAAGAGUUCACAUCGACGGCGGAGUUUGGCACCUCGAUGUCGGCUCAUCACAUCCUGGGGCUGUAGCCGGUCCCAAGGGUAUGGCUGUUCGCCAUUUAAAGUGGUACGUGAGCUGGGUUUAAACGUCGUGAGACAGUUUGGUCCCUAUCUGCCGUGGGCGCUGGAAGUUUGAGAGGGCCUGCUCCUAGUACGAGAGGACCGGAGUGGACGCACCCCUGGUGUACCGGUUGUGACGCCAGUCGCAUCGCCGGGUAGCUAUGUGCGGAAGAGAUAACCGCUGAAAGCAUCUAAGCGGGAAACUCGCCUCAAGAUGAGACUUCCCCGGGGCCUCGAGCCCCCUGAAGGGUCGUUGAAGACCACAACGUUGAUAGG
rnacentral:rRNA from 1 species